UACAGAGGUCUCAAGCGUUGUUCGGAUUCAUUGGGCGUAAAGGGUGUGUAGGUGGCGCCGUAAGUCGGGUGUGAAAUUUCGGAGCUUAACUCCGAAACUGCAUUCGAUACUGCGGUGCUUGAGGACUGGAGAGGAGACUGGAAUUCAUGGUGUAGCAGUGAAAUGCGUAGAUAUCAUGAGGAAGACCAGUGGCGAAGGCGGGUCUCUGGACAGUUCCUGACACUGAGACACGAAGGCCAGGGGAGCAAACAGG
rnacentral:rRNA from 1 species